GGAACUUGUCAUGUUUCCCGGUUAUUUUCUGUUCAGUACAGUCCUCUGCAGAAUUUACAAAAGCAAUUUUUACUGUAUGAAGAAACUAAAUAGAUAUAGUCCAUCGUAUUCUUAACAACACAAAACGAUGCAUCUUCCAAGCGAAAGUAAUUUUGCAUAUCCAAAAGAGAAGCGCCCUGCAGCCUGUUGUUACUUCCAUCUCUGUUCCAAAAACAGAGGAACCAUCUUUUUUGGUUCAGAUAAUUGCGAGGAAAUUCCUGAACUGAUCCCUGCUUCCUCUGGUUGUUGUUUGUGCCAGGUGACCCAAGGUUGCUGAAGAGGAGCAGCAGCCGCACAAGAAUACAACUGAUGCCUUGAAGAAGUCAGCUCCCCUUGGAUGGUACAGUGUAGCAAAUCAAUGUUGAUUCAUUCAUUCUUUGGUGAGUGCACACUACUAGCACAUUCUUUGCUGUGAUCAAGUGCGACCCAUAUCCAGUUGUUUGCUCACAUUAUUAUUUGGUUAUGCCAUGCCGCUGCCAUUGUUUGCUUAAGCAUGAUUUGCUCCAACCUGGCAUUGUGUUGUACUAGUACUAGUACAUACUUCAAUUGCAUGCAUGCAUGUUUGCCGUUGCCUGAACUGUUUGACUGUGACCUGUUGUACUAUCCAUAUGUUACUUGAUCAUUUGCAAAAUAUAUCUCAGUUUUCCCUGUAAUGAGAAUGUUAUAUGCAUGGUUUCCUGUUAAAUUUAAAGUUCUGCAGCAAAUUUUCAUCGUUAUGAGAAUUUUAUAUUCAUGAAUUCACUUGAUUAUGUUUCUAAAUUUUCAUAAUUUAUUAUUUGCAGAUGCUGGCUUUCAUUCUUCCAAAGUUGGGUGUACAGGAGGAAGAAGAAUCCCGAAGAUAAACCACACCCAGCAAUGCGUUUUAGCUCACUAGAGAUAGUUAUGCUCGCAGCUAGUUAUGUGUAUAUUUAGUUGUAUUUUAUAACUGAAUACCAGAAUUGUACAAUGCUUGGCUGUUGUAUGAAAUAUUAUGCCUUAUUGGCUCUUUUUGAAUCAAAAUAUCUAAUUGCACAAAUAUAGAACUGACGUGUGGUACCCGAAAA